GAUGAACGCUGGCGGCGUGCCUAAUACAUGCAAGUCGAGCGAACAGACGAGGGGCUUGCUCCUCUGACGUUAGCGGCGGACGGGUGAGUAACACGUGGAUAACCUACCUAUAAGACUGGGAUAACUUCGGGAAACCGGAUCUAAUACCGGAUAAUAUAUUGAACCGCAUGGUUCAAUAGUGAAAGACGGUUUUGCUGUCACUUAUAGAUGGAUCCGCGCCGCAUUAGCUAGUUGGUAAGGUAACAGCUUACCAAGGCAACGAUGCGUAGCCGACCUGAGAGGGUGAUCGGCCACACUGGAACUGAGACACGGUCCAGACGCCUACGGGAGGCAGCAGUAGGGAAUCUUCCGCAAUGGGCGAAAGCCUGACGGAGCAACGCCGCGUGAGUGAUGAAGGUCUUCGGAUCGUAAAACUCUGUUAUUAGGGAAGAACAAAUGUGUAAGUAAAUAUGCACGUAUUGACGGUACCUAAUCAGAAAGCAACGGCUAACUACGUG
rnacentral:rRNA from 1 species